GUGUGAGUAUGGACUCUCAGUGGUAAUUAGUUUUGGCCUUAACAUCUGAUGAACUCGACGUGAUAGUUGCCACUGAGACCCCAUCCGACAUGGAGUGAUUCAAGAACCGGCUGCCCACUUGAAAUAAUUGCAGUCAGCUCCUCCAAGUUCUUUUCACCACAGAGGAGAGAGAAAGGAUCCUGACAGAAGCCCGGAAGCUGGUUUCGGGGGAUGACAGAAACCCUACUUCAAACCCAGAAAGAAUUGCAGAGAAGUUUCCUCUAUCCUGCCCAGACUGGAAUUAUGACACCCCUGAAGGUAAGGAGAGAAUCAAAGUCUCCCGCCAGAUUCUCAUGGGAGGUCUCUGAGCUGCAGCCCGGAAACCUACAAAUUUGGCUAAAGUCAGUCAGGUAAGACAAGAUAAGGAAGAGGCACCUGGGGCCUUUUUAGAACAUCUCUUAGAAGCAUAUCGCACAUAUACCCCUAUAGACCUAGAAGACCCUAUUAACCGCAUUGCAGUAAUGAUGACCUUUGUCAAUCAGGCAGCACCUGACAUUAGUCGGAAGCAGCAACGGCUGGAAAAUCUGAGUAAAAGGACAAUUUCUGAACUUAUGGCAGUAGCACAAAAAGUGUAUAACAACUGGGAGACAGCAAUAGACAAACAAACUAAGACAUUAAUUGCAGCUAACAAGAAACAUACCCAAGAAUUGGCCAAAGUCCUGAUGGCCAACAUGGUGAGAGUGGACUGUAGAGUGCCAAGACAAGCACACUGGAUGGAAGGUAAGCCUGAAGGCUGGGAAGGAAGUAGACCCCCUCUAGAAAAAGAUCAGUGCGCCUAUUGCAGGGAGAAGGGACACUGGAAAUAUAAUUGCCCCAACCGACCGGCCAAGACAUGCCAAAGCCCGGCCCAAGUUCUGGAAUUGGGUGAAUUAAAUGAAUAGGGGGGACAGGGUUCAAGUACCCCUCCCUGAGCCCAGGGUAACCCUAAAAGUGGAGGGGAAACCUGCAGACUUCCUGGUAGACACAGGUGCCCAACACUCCAUCCUUAAACAAUCACUUGGAACACUAUCAAGCCGUAAAUCAUGAGUGCAAGGGGUGACAGGAACCAAUCAGUACUCAUGGACCACUCAAAGGACAGUGGACUUUGGAACUGGCCGAGUGUCCCAUGCAUUUAUGGUCAUACCUGACUGCAUACCUGACUGACUCCCCCUUGCUGGGGAGAGACGUAUUGACAAAUAUAGGCACACACAUUCAUUUCCAGCCACAAGGGAUCCAAGUCACUCACGCCAACAGGGAACCUGUAUGUGUGCUGACAGUCUCAAUACCAGAUGAACACCAACUUCAUAAAAGACAAGCUAAAACAUGCAUUCCAACCGAACUAGAACCAUGGCUAUCAGAAUUCCCAAAGGCUUGGGCAGAGACAGGGGGCAUGGGAUAUGCAGCACACCACCCCCCUGUGAUAGUAAAAUUAAAGGCUGGGGCCCUGCCAAUACAAGUAAAACAAUACCCCGUGUCAAAAGAAGCCCCAGAAGGUAUCACCCCUCACAUAAAAAGAUUAGGACAACUAGGAAUACUAAUCCCAUGCCAAUCACCUUGGAAUACCCCCUUACUGCCUGUCAAGAAGCCAAGUACUUAUGAUUAUUGGCCGGUCCAAGACCUUAGGGAGGUCAACAAAUGAACAGCCCAUAUCCACUCCACGGUGCCCAACCCCUAUACCCUGCUAAGCACUCUACCACCCACUAAAAAAUGGCAUACUGUUUUAGAUUUAAAAGAUGCCUUCUUUUGCCUACCUUUGGCCCCAAGAGUCAGCCUAUGUUUGCAUUCGAAUGGCGAGACCCCACAGAUGGAUUCAACGGACAGCUUACCUGGAUUCAGCUGCCCCAAGGUUUCAAGAACUCCCCAACCAUCUUCGAUGAGGCUUUAUAUGAAGACCUCAGUAAGUACUGAAGAAAUAACCCUAAAGUCAGUUUACUUCAAUAUGUAUACGACCUCCUGAUAGCAGUGGAUAGCCUGACGGAUUGCCAACAGGUUACUCAAGAAUUACUUAAAACUCUUGGGGACCAUGGGUACCAGGCUUCAGCCCAAAAGGCCCAAAUCUGCAAAACUCAAGUUAUUUACCUAGACUACAUACUCAAGGGGGAACAAAGAUGAUUAUCAGACUCUAGAAAAGAAACUAUCCUAAGAAUACCCAUGCCUAAGACCCAGAGAAGUCAGAGAAUUCCUGGGGACAGCAGGGUUUUGCCGACUAUGGAUUCCAGGUUUUGCAGAAAAGGCAAAGCCACUGUAUGAGGCAACCUGAGGCCAGGAACCCCUAACCUGGACUGAAAUUAUGACUCAAGCCUUUGACAGUAUAAAGAUUGAUCUCUUACAUGCCCCAGCUUUAGCCUUACCAGAUAUAACAAAAUCCUCCCACUUAUAUAUAAAUGAAAAAACAGGAAUAGCAAAAAGAGUACUAACUCAAACCUUAGGACCAUGGGAAAGACCAGUAGCUCACUUAUCAAAGAAAUUAGACCCUGUAGCUGCAGGAUGGCCACCCUGCUUAUGCAGCAUAGCCGCUACGGCCUUACUAGUUAAAGAUGCAAAUAAACUAACUCUGGGUCAAGAUCUAAUGGUGACCACACCACAUGCUAUUGAAGGAGUACUCAAAUAACCACCCAAUCGGUGGCUGACUAAUGCCAGAUUAACUCUCAAGCUUUGUUAUUAAACCCCCCGAAAGUCCAAUUCAGUUCCAGCGCUGCCCUCAACCCAGCCACCCUACUACCUGAUCCAGAUUUGACACAACCUCUUCAUGAUUACACUGAAAUCCUGAGUCAAGCCCAUUGCAUUCGAGAUGACCUCUGAGACCAACCCUUACCACAGGCAGAUGUCACCUGGUAUACAGAUGGCAGCAGUUUUAUGAAAGAUGGUAACAGGAUGGGUAGAAGCCUACCCCACCAAGACUGAAACGGCUGCUGUGGUAAACAAAAGGCUACGAGAAGACAUCAUCCCAAGGUAUGGAUUCCCCACUCAAACAGGGUCUGAUAAUGGCCCGUCUUUUGUCUCCCAAGUACAGCAAAAGAUAGCCUCCCUCCUAAACAUUAAUUGGAAAUUACAUUGUGCCUAUAGGCCCCAAAGUUCAGGACAAGUAAAAAAAAUGAACCGAACUCUAAAAAAAUUUUAUCUAAACUGAUUUUAGAGACUGGUGCAGACUGGAUAUCUCUCCUCCCCUUCGCCCUAUAUAGAGUUAGAAACUCCCCCUACACCCUAGGAUCACUCCCUAUAAAAUCCUUUAUGGAAGACCUCCUCCCAUUAUUCCUGGCACCCAUAACAACAUAACAGGUAUAAAUAAUAAAAAUUUCCUCCUUUCCCUUCAGUUCUAUCAGCAGGUACAAAAAGAAAACUAGAACCUUCUAUGGGCCACUUACAUGAUUGACCAAGUUCCUGAAUCCCACAGGUUCCAACCUGGAGACUGGGUGUAUGUGAAGAGACACCAUCAAAAAACACUUGAGCCCUGGGGGGAAAGACCCUAUAUUGUCCUGACAACCCCCGCUGCUCUCAAAGUAGACAGCAUUGCCUCCUGGGUGCAUCACACACACAUCAAGCUUGCAGAACCCAUUGCUGACAAAAAAGACUUCACUUCGCAAUGAAAAGUUCGGCGAGAUGAAGACAAUCCCUUAAAGCUGAAGCUGACGCGUUCCUUGCCAACACCAUGUUGGCAUUACUGCUGUUACCUAUGUGUACAUCAUCCCCUGAUUUGCACCAACCCUUAAAUGUAACCUGGGUAAUCAUAAAUGCCCUCACAGGAACCAUUGCUAACCAGACCUCAGGCAUCCACCCAUGAGGCACUUGGUUCCCUGAACUUUUAGUGGACAUGAAUGAACUUGUAGAUACCUACCCCUACCCAGGCUGUUUCUACGUAUGUCCGGGACAUUUCAAAGACAAAUGUGGGGGAGGGGAGACUUAUUUCUGUGAGUCGUGGGAAUGUACAUCUACCGGUCAGAUCUAGUGGGAGGCCCCAAAACGAGGGGAUUACACACAGGUAAAAAAAAAAAAGAAAACCCCCCUUGUUGGGGUGCAGCCCCCCGUACCUAAGCAUAGUAGUUUAUUCUCAAGUGCUCCCUGAGGAACGUGGCUAUAAGCUUCUUAUUCUGAGAAUAUGUUUAGAUCUGCCUAAAAGCAGACAGUCAUGUUUACAGAUAAGAUAGCUGGUGAGUCUCGCCAGGUUGUAGCUGGAGAUAACACUUGCUGAGGCAGUGAGCUGUUGUAUCCUGUAUCUCCCCCCUUACUUAUACAAUAGUAGUCAGUUUUAGCUUAGGGGAAA